GUGUAUGUAAAUGCCCCACUUGCAAAGAAAUCCCACUGCUUUAGGCAGUAGGCACUGGCUGUUAAAGUGCAGCGAGCUCUCACGCGCGAGAGGGAGUGGCGCUAGAGGACCCAAUCGAGCACAUUGAUUAAGGAUUUCACCCUCCGUCGUCAGUGAUAAAUUCUGUAAGCUCAUUUCAUAAUCAUCUUUUAUGUUUCACUAAUUAAAUUCAAAUUGAAACUAAAAUUACUCAAAAAUCUACUGUUGCACUGCAAGUCGCACAGAAGAAAGCGAUAAGUCAAGUCAGUGUUUGAGCUCCUGCUGUACUUUUUGCUUCAUUUCAGAUUUUUGCUUUCAAGUUUCAAGAUCUAUAAUGUUAUGGGUGGCUCUCUCUCUACCGAUCUCUCCCUCUCUCUCUCUCUCUCUCUCUCUCUCUCUCUCCCAAAUUCUAAAGUUGUGAUUUUGAAUGGGAUAUUACAAAGACGUACAACAUUUCUGACAGUGGAAUUGAGAUAAGAUCGGUGUAACUUCGCGAGUUUCAAAGUUUCAAGCUUUCGGAGAGAGCCGUACAAAAGGGUUUAGACGUCUGCUUCGUCUCCUUACUAUGCCGGAAUCUCAAUUGCAGAGUGUUGACUUUUGAAUCAGAGUCGGCUGAUGAAAAGAUGCUCUCACAUGAUCAAUUCUUUCAGCAAUGCGAUCGCUUUCUUACCCUGAUCGCUUUCUCUCAACCCUUCGAACCAAAACCCGCCCUUGUGUUGUUCAGAACGUUGUCGACCUCUGUUACCAGGGCAAACUCAAAGAAACUGUCUACUCUUUAGAAUUGCUGUCCCGCCGGGGCCUGCGUUUAGACCAUCGGACGCUUGCUUUUCUCUUGCGGCAGUGCGCCAAUUCUAGAUCCCUUCGAGAGGGCAAAUGGGUUCACCUCCAUUUGAAACUGACUGGCCUCAAACACCCCGGAACUUUUUUGUUUAACCAUUUGAUCGGUAUGUACUUUAAAUGUGGUGACGACAUGGAAGCUCGACGAGUGUUCGAUAAGAUGCCUGUGAGAAAUUUGUUCUCUUGGAACAAUAUGCUGGCUGGUUAUACCAAGCUCGGGAUGCUGAAACCUGCAAGGAAGUUGUUUGACAAAAUGCCUGAGAAGGAUGUUGUGUCCUGGAAUACCAUGAUAAUUGCCCUGGCACGGAAUGGGUUUUGUUAUGAAGGUUUUAGAUUUUAUGCACAGUUGCGUCGUUCUUCUCUUGGGUUUAACCAGUUCAGUUUUGCUGGUAUUCUGACUGCUUGUGUGAAGUUGGAGGAUUUGGACGUAACUAGGCAGGUUCAUGCUCAGGUUUUGGUGGUUGGAUUCUCAUCUAAUGUAGUUCUUUCAAGCUCUAUUGUGGAUGCUUAUGCGAAAUGCGGGGUAAUUGGUGAUGCCAGGAAGAUGUUCGAUGAUAUGCCUACAAGAGAUGUUCUUGCUUGGACCACAUUGGUUUCAGGUUAUGCCAAGUCAGGGGAUACCGAAUCAGCUAGAAAUUUGUUCAAUGAGAUGCCAGAGAAGAACCCUGUUUCAUGGACGGCUUUGAUAUCUGGGUAUGUUCAGGGUGGUUUGGAGCACGAAGCACUGGACCUCUUCUCAGAGAUGAUGAUGAUGCACAUUAAACCAGAUCAAUUCACCAUCAGUAGUAGUCUUUGUGCUUGUGCCAGCAUUGCUUUACUCAAACAUGGUAAACAAAUCCAUGGUUAUCUGGUGCGGAGUCACUUCAGACCUAAUACGAUAGUUGUAAGCUCUCUCAUUGAUAUGUACUCAAAAUGUGGAUGUUUGGAAGUUAGUCUACAGGUGUUUCAUCGUAUAGGUAAUAAGCAAGACGUGGUUCUGUGGAACACAAUGAUUUCGGCCUUGGCACAACAUGGUUGUGGCAAAGAGGCUAUCCAACUAUUUGGUGACCUUGUGAGAGAAGGAAUAAAGCCUAAUAAGGUCACCUUGGUGGUAAUUCUAAAUGCUUGUAGCCAUUCAGGCCUUGUGAAUGAAGGGCUUGGUUAUUUUGAAUCCUUGACCAAGGACAAAACCUUUGUUACCACCCAAGAGCAUUAUGCAUGUUUGGUUGAUCUCUUGGGUCGUGCUGGACGUUUCAAAGAGGUGUCAGAGUUGCUUGCAAAGAUGCCUAUUAAACCAGAUAAUAGAAUUUGGAAUGCCUUACUUGGUGCUUGUAAAAUUCAUGGGAAUAUAGAAUUGGGAAGAAAAGCAGCUGAACAACUUAUUGAGUUGGAGCCUCAUUCCUCUCCAGCUUAUGUAUUGCUUUCAAACAUGUAUGCUGCGGUUGGAAGGUGGGAAUCAGUGGAGAAGGUGAGGCAUCUUAUGAAUAAGAGACAAGUGAGAAAAGAAAAAGCCAUUAGCUGGGUUGAAAUCGGGGGCAAGGUGCAUUCAUUUACUGCUUCUGAUUGGUUUCACCCUUCCAAGGAUGAAAUAUACUCAGUCUUGGAACAGUUAGCUGGACAGAUUGAAGAUGAUUCUUUGCUUACAUAACACCUAUUUUUUUGAAAAACUAUGAAGUAUGCCUUUGCUGUCUCAAUUUUGCAAGGAGGGCAUCUCAAUGAUAACCACAAGAACUGUACAUUGUUUACAUAUAUUGUUUUGGUUGCUGUACCUUUUGGAAACUUAUAGUUUAGGAACAGGUCUUCACAUUGAGAAACUCUGCUUCUGUGUGAAAUGAGAUGUGUUUCACCAUGGUAUAUAUCACCUUAUGACAUUAUUUUCAAUAAAAUUAUCAAUGAAAAAGAUUGUUUUUACAACAACAGAGGAACCAGCAUUUGUGGGUGUGGGUGUGAGAGUUUUGGAUGAAGUCCAUUGAAGGUUUACUGGGCAAAAGGAGGGAGAUGCAAAAGAAUACAGCAGGUUUGCAUACUUAAUUGUCUUCACUGUUUAAAAAAAAGGGUAAUUUGCCUUUAACUGAAAACUGGGAAGUAAUAUAAUAUGGAAGAAACGGGACAGGAAAAAAAAAAAAAACAAGCAGCAGUAGCAGUGGCAGUGGCAGUGGCAAUAAAGAUUAAAGAGUACUAUAAAGUUGACGGCCAGGAGGCCUCAAAACAUACACAUAGGCCUCAAGCAUAACACAUAGGUAGAAGCAAAUGAGGGCUAUGUUUAAAGGUGCAGGGCUACGUAUUAAGUGACCAGCACUUUAAACAGGGGAAGGGUUCUGUAUGUUUCAAGCCUUAUAGAGUACCACCAUUAAGCAGCUUUUACAGCAGUUGGGCUAACCUCCAGUUGCAGCAACCUUUUCUUCUUUUCCUGAUCUGGAAUGGGUGUCUGCCUCUCUCACAAAGACUACAGCGGCUGUCGGGGGCAGCAUUUAUGCCCCCCGUGCAGGGCGUUCGCAAUUUAUAUUUGUUUGAUGGUGUUUUAGGGUUUAUUAGUGUGUUUUUGGGAACUGGUUGAAGCUCAGCUUUUGUUUCGUUGCUUUUGUGAAGAUGAGGCUACUGGUGAAAUUUAUUUUUGUUUGAUUGUUUUGGGUGAUGGAUCCUGUUUGGACGAUUUAGGUAUUGGUAUCAAUACCGAUUUGAUUGGUGCUUAUGAGUCA